UGCAUAAUCCCCAAAACGGAGGAAAAGAAACCAACAGGGAUUGCCCCAGUAGCGGCGAGUGAAGCGGCAAAAGCUCAGAUUUGGAAUCGCUUCGGCGAGUUGUGAAUUGCAGGUUGGCGCCUCUGCGGCGGCGGCGGUCCAAGUCCCUUGGAACAGGGCGCCAUUGAGGGUGAGAGCCCCGUGGGACCGUUUGCCUAUGCUCUGAGGCCCUUCUGACGAGUCGAGUUGUUUGGGAAUGCAGCUCUAAGCGGGUGGUAAAUUCCAUCUAAGGCUAAAUACUGGCGAGAGACCGAUAGCGAACAAGUACUGUGAAGGAAAGAUGAAAAGCACUUUGAAAAGAGAGUGAAACAGCACGUGAAAUUGUUGAAAGGGAAGGGUAUUGCGCCCGACAUGGAGCGUGCGCACCGCUGCCCCUCGUGGGCGGCGCUCUGGGCGUGCUCUGGGCCAGCAUCGGUUUUUGCCGCGGGAGAAGGGCGGCGGGCAUGUAGCUCUUCGGAGUGUUAUAGCCUGCCGCCGGCGCCGCGAGCGGGGACCGAGGACUGCGACUUUCUCGAUGCGCACUGCUGGGAAACGGGAAU
rnacentral:rRNA from 1 species